GCUCAGGUUAGGUCCCAAAGCGGGGUGUGCUUAAUAUCAAAUGUCUGUCACAAACUGUGAAAGGACUCUUUCCAUAUCAUUUUCAUUCAGAGACCCAGCUUGCACAGUGUGGAAGACAGACAAGCAUCUACUGCAAAACCAUGGAGGAGCAAGUGUCUUCCCCUCUGUGGUCAGCAUCUCUGAGUAUGUUGACCAUCAUCCAAAUUAAAGCUGAGCCUGGUCUGAAAUUGCUAUGAGACAUACGUUUGAUCCCUGAUCCUGGAGUAUCCCACAUGCUGUGGAGCAGCUGAGCCUGUGAGCCACAACUAUUGAGCCCGUGCCUUAGAGCUGGGGAACCACAGCUACUGAGCCAGCCCGCUGCAAGUACUGAAGACCAUGCACUGCAACUAGAGAAAAGCCUGUGUAGCAACGAAGACCUAGAGCAGCCAAAUAAAAGGCAUCAGAGACAAUCUUGGGACAAUGAAAAUCUCAU